GCCAUAAAGUUGAAUUGUUGUCAGUGUUUCAAUACCUAGUACAGAAACUUCCUUUAGAAUCAAGGCUAACCAUGAAGUAGUUUAUAUAUCUAAAUUAUAAAACACAGGAAGGAACAUUGUUUUAGGAAAUUCAAACUGAUAGAUUAGGAAAACUAAUGUAGAAUUAGAAAAAAACAAACCCAUCACUUCCCUCCUCCACCUUGUCUCUGUAUGACCAUUCAGCUUGACCAACAGAAACUCCCACUGAAGGAAAAACAAAAAUGAAGAAUAUAGACUCCUAUUGCAACAUACUUGCCAGAAAAGAAGGUACCAAGUGUCUAUUUCCUUAAGAAGUGAUCACUCAACUUAAACACUUCGAAUGUGGUCCAAGCACACAUUAUAGUUUGCUGAAGGAAAAAAAAAAAAUCAGCAUCAACUCGGCAGCUUUGACUGGCAGCAGACGGUGCAGAAGGACUGCAUGCCAUCCUCAUCUCUUGCCUGCCCGGCAGAAGAUGGUAAGUAUGUCAAGUGGUUGACUUUCGGCUGUGUAGCAACACAAUCUUUCACCUCAUCAGAGCAUUCAACCUCUAAGUCUUGGAACCAAGAAGGAGAAAAGCAUGGAGAUGGUGGAUCCGCCUGAUGCUCUGAGAGAAAAGGUGAGGAAUGAGCUGAAGAGGAACCAUAGGACGUACUGCCAUCUGUGCCAGAAUUUCACACACUAAAAAUCUACACAUUAAACCUUUAAUGCUUAGACAAAGAUGGUCAUCACAUUAUCCUAGAAGCAUCCAAUUGUGAAUGAAUAUUUGAAGACUAAAAAGAUACAGACUCAGCAUGGAUGUUAGAUGUCCUGGACAAGUUUGGAAGACUACGCCUUAGUUUUUCUGUAUAAAAAACAAUACAAAGACAACGUACAAUCUGAUGCAGAAGACUGACAACAUAACUGAUGGUCUCACGGUCUUCAAAAACUGACAUGAAAAUUAAUUUUGCUGUACAAAACUGCACUGCAAUUCAAAAGCAUGCGGUGGCAAAACUAAAUACUAUUUAGACCAGUGGUUCCCAAACUUUAACAACCUGUGAACCCCUUUCACUAAAAUGUCAGGUUUCGCGAACCCCCUCCUAAAAAUGAGUAUUUCCAGAGAUUUUCUCCUUUACUCAAGUAUAAAUUAUAGAAGUAGUGUUCUUGGAAAUAUAAAAUUUGUUUUUAUGACAUGCUUAUUACACAUUACUUAUUAUUUUUCAUCAUUACAGUAUUUUUAUUACAUUAUGAAAACGGCAACACGCUUCCAAGAUCUCACUUUCAUAGACUGAAUCACUUUGAAUAAGCCUGUUAUAAGACAAGACUCCUAGGUUUCAUCAAGGAGUAUCUGAUGUGGAACAGCAUGAAAGUAUUUAAGAAGCCAACUCAAAGAGUUCCUCCUACACAAGCAAUCAGGUCUUGAGCAGUCCAGGCAAACAAUGCAUGUUACAACAAAGCUUAAAAUUGUUCUUCAUAAUAAUUUUAAAAACAAUACUAGCUGCCUAUUUAAUUUUAAAAACAGCGAAAAUAUCCACCUCCCUUUCCAUUUCUUAUAAGGAGUCUUGAAGUUUAUAUCUCCUCAGUGUGAUAGAUAUGCUUGCUUUGAUCUGCUUAGCUCUUGGAAGUCCAGCGGCUCUGGGCUGCUGGCCCUGUGCUGCCUGGCAUCCCUAGGGACAGCUCUGUCUGCCAUUAGGGAAUUUUUUCCCGUGAACCCCAGUUUGGGAACCACUGAUUUAGAUCAUUCUACUGUUCUACAGAUUACAUACUUAUUUUCUUAUGCCUUGCAUAUGAAAUAUUCUGCAUGUAUUUUUUUCCCAAAUAAAUACUUUGCCAUUUUGCUGUGUGCUAUGGAAAGUCAGAAAUAUAGCCAAUUUUGAAACUCUCAAAGA